rnacentral:rRNA from 1 species
GCAAGUAGGACGCACAGUUUAUACCGUAGCUUGCUACACCAUAGACUGUGAGUUGCGAACGGGUGAGUAACGCGUAGGUAACCUGCCUAUUAGAGGGGGAUAACUAUUGGAAACGAUAGCUAAUACCGCAUAACAGUAUGUAACACAUGUUAGAUGCUUGAAAGAUGCAAUUGCAUCGCUAGUAGAUGGACCUGCGUUGUAUUAGCUAGUAGGUAGGGUAAUGGCCUACCUAGGCGACGAUACAUAGCCGACCUGAGAGGGUGAUCGGCCACACUGGGACUGAGACACGGCCCAGACUCCUACGGGAGGCAGCAGUAGGGAAUCUUCGGCAAUGGGGGGAACCCUGACCGAGCAACGCCGCGUGAGUGAAGAAGGUUUUCGGAUCGUAAAGCUCUGUUGUUAAGGAAGAACGAGUGUGAGAAUGGAAAGUUCAUACUGUGACGGUACUUAACCAGAAAGGGACGGCUAACUACGUGCCAGCAGCCGCGGUAAUACGUAGGUCCCGAGCGUUGUCCGGAUUUAUUGGGCGUAAAGCGAGCGCAGGCGGUUAGAAAAGUCUGAAGUGAAAGGCAGUGGCUCAACCAUUGUAGGCUUUGGAAACUGUUUAACUUGAGUGCAGAAGGGGAGAGUGGAAUUCCAUGUGUAGCGGUGAAAUGCGUAGAUAUAUGGAGGAACACCGGUGGCGAAAGCGGCUCUCUGGUCUGUAACUGAC